rnacentral:rRNA from 1 species
CGCGUGGGUAACCUGCCCUAUACACAUGGAUAACAUACUGAAAAGUUUACUAAUACAUGAUAAUAUAUAUUUACGGCAUCGUAGAUAUAUCAAAGUGUUAGCGGUAUAGGAUGGACCCGCGUCUGAUUAGCUAGUUGGUGAGAUAACUGCCCACCAAGGCGACGAUCAGUAGCCGACCUGAGAGGGUGAUCGGCCACAUUGGAACUGAGACACGGUCCAA